AGUGAACGCUGGCGGUAGGCCUAACACAUGCAAGUCGAACGGCAGCACAGUAAGAGCUUGCUCUUACGGGUGGCGAGUGGCGGACGGGUGAGGACUACAUCGGAAUCUACUUUUUCGUGGGGGAUAACGUAGGGAAACUUACGCUAAUACCGCAUACGUCCUACGGGUGAAAGCAGGGGAUCUUCGUACCUUGCGCGAUUGAAUGAGCCGAUGUCGGAUUAGCUAGUUGGCUGGGUAAAGGCCCACCAAGGCGACGAUCCGUAGCUGGUCUGAGAGGAUGAUCAGCCACACUGGAACUGAGGCACGGUCCAGACUCCUACGGGAGGCAGCAGUGGGGAAUAUUGGACAAUGGGCGCAAGCCUGAUCCAGCCAUACCGCGUGGGUGAAGAAGGCCUUCGGGUUGUAAAGCCCUUUUGUUGGGAAAGAAAAGCAGCAGGUUAAUACCCCGCUGUUCUGACGGUACCCAAAGAAUAAGCACCGGCUAACUUCGUG
rnacentral:rRNA from 1 species